UGACCGUCUUCAUUUUAGUGGAUAACCAUUGAAUUAAUUUACGCCUUAAUCUGAAAAUGAAGCUAAUUAAUCAUUAUGGCGCUUGUAAUUGGUAUGCACCAUUAGCUUAAUUGCGUUCAUCGUAGUAUAGUUGAGAAGCCAUGCAAAACUCUUUAGUCAAUAUUCAGUUAUUCACCUUCAAUAUUCUUGGUUCAAUAUGAAAAUGGAGGUUUCCGGUUUUUGAGGGCUUGUGAUAUUCCGAUGUUUGCAUUAUCUAAGUUUCAGAUGACGAAAUUCAACGGCAAUGUCAGGGUGCACAAUUCGAGAUUGGUCACGCAAGCAUGUUCUCAGCUGCAUUUUGGUAUUCGGUAGAAGGUAAAUCAUGACAUAGAUCUGAUCACUACAUGGUCAGUUAUGAUAAUCCGCUGUUGGAUUUUAUCUCAGGAGGAUCUGCUCUUACUGAAACCGCCUUCUUUCCUACAGUCCGUGGUUUUUUUCUGCUGCUUAUCUAUUUUUGUAGGAUAACGAUUCUCUGUAAUAAAGGUAUGCCUUUUUUAUCAUGAAUUUUUUCAGGUUGAUAGGUAUGUAUGUUGUAGUAUAAUCUUUUUGACUUUCUAUUCUUGGUUGGUUGUUCAUUGUUACUGUAGUCUGUAUACAUAUGUUUGAUGUAGUUUCUUCACUUAUAUUUACUGCUGAGUUCAAACAAUAAUGCUCUAAAGUUUAAGCUGUCCAAAAAUUUUUGGGUGAAUUGCUGUGACCAAUAACAAAGUAUCGUUCAAUAUGCACCCCGUCUUUUCCUUUUUAUAUUUCCGGUUGGGGCUGACUAGGGACUUGUGCGUACUUAGAUACUUGUAUGAUUGUAUCAAACUUAAGUUUGUGUUCUAGUGCCAAACUUGGGUAUUUAAUGAAUUUACUUAUAUUUAUUUCAAAGCGAAGUGUCAAGUGUGCUCACCUAUGUCCAAGUGUUGAGGACUCGUCAUGACUAUUUGAACCUUGAGGUGGAAUGAAGAUUCCAAAUAGCACAAGUUUUAGAAUUGGUGGAUUGGAAUCAUCUAGUUGACCUUUAGCGCAAAAAAUGCGGAUUCGUUUGUGGUUGCAAUAACUUAUAUGGUGAUGCGAUGAUGGGGAUGAUGUGGUAAUCAUGCCGCCAAAAAUCAACUGAGACAUUGAGAUAUACCUUCAAACCGUGAAAGAACCAUGAAAAGAAACUCACAGGAUAUACAUGAACUGCAGGAAUCUCAAUCUCAUUCAGACAGUACUAAGAAGGGAAAAGGCAAAAUAAAAAAGUUUUGUAAACUCGAAAUAAGCAUCAGAGGAAGAACUCAUUGAAUAGAACACUGCCCUGAAUCAUAGGCAGGAGGAUACUCAACAGCAACUAGCUCACACUGAUUGCACCAGGAUCUAUUGCAGGGCAAUGGGCAAGAAAGCUUAAGAGGGUCCCGCCACUUCUGUUGCUGAUCGCUGUAUGAGUAUGACUGACAUGAGCCGCAGUAGCAGUAGGGCUCGCAUCUUUGUGGUCUUGGUGGGCCCACAGUAACAAUUUCUGGGGUCUCUCCAAUCUUCUUGAGUGCCUUGAAGAUUGGCACUGGUUCAACAUCCCCUACAACUGUAAGAGUACCCUUGUGCCCAUCCAUUUCCAGUUUUUCGACACCUGUGUAUAAACAUCCAGAUCGGAUUAGAGAAUGUUUACGGUGUUCAUUGUAGCCUGUAGGUCGCAAACUAGAUACUUGCCGACCCUUAUGGUGCUCAUGGAAGUUUUAAUUUCCAAUUUCUUGGUUGGCUGAAAUUCGGGUCAUUGCUGUAUGCUUUGGGGUGUAAGUAAUUAGAUAGAGAACUAUUCUCUGCAUCAGCAUAUUGUAUUGUACAAAGACACAUCAAUUAGAAGAAACUUAGCAGUAAUGAAAAAGAAAAAAGUAAAACUUCUAUUUAUUAAGAUGAUAGGUUCUCUAAAUGAUAUCGGUCAUCCCUGGAGCAAUAUCGUUUAAAUCAAAAGGCAUUAGAAGGGCUACUUCAUUCUCCAAUCCAAGAUGGAGACUUCAUUCAUAAUUUUUUUUAACCAUAGCAUCAUCAUUCAGUUCCAUUCUGGAUCCUAGAGGAUUCCUCAUAGCAGGAUACUUGACAAAAGAUGGCUUAGGCUACUUGAUAAAAAGCACGGCAGUCGCAAGUUAGGACUCGGGUUUUUUCAAUGACUGUACUUGAGCAGACGCAAGUUGUGACUCGAGCAGCAGUUUGUGGCUAUGUAGUUUGUGAUGCUGCAUUGAGAUUGAGUAGUAGCCAUGGUUAUAUUGUUAAUGCCCCAUAAUAUCAUGUUUUCUUUCUUUUUUUUUUUUUAUUCGUAGAUAGACUAGAGAAUCUUAAUAAUUGGUUGAAGGGAAAUAAUAUGAUGCUUUCUUAAUUUAGUAAGUAUAUGUAUUAUUUCUUGGUGAUUAAAGAGCAUUUUGAAGAGAAUUAUUGUGGAAA